UACGAACUGUGCGAACGUUAUUCGGAAUCACUGGGCUUACAGGGUGCGUAGGCGGCUUUUCAAGUCAGGCGUGAAAGCCCCCGGCUCAACCGGGGAAUUGCGCUUGAAACUGGAGAGCUCGAGUCAGCUAGAGGUGCACGGAACUUCCAGUGGAGCGGUGAAAUGUGUUGAUAUUGGAAGGAACACCGGAGGCGAAAGCGGUGCACUGGGGCUGGUCUGACGCUGAGGCACGAAAGCCAGGGUAGCGAACGGG
rnacentral:rRNA from 1 species